AAUAAAUACUCAACCUCGCUCGGUAAAAAAUAGUAAAGUAUCGCAUGGAAUAUAAUAGCAAGUUUAUAGUUAGUUUAAAACUAAACAUGAAUGAUAAAGUUGUUAUUUUUAUGGCAACAUUAUUAACAUUUUGUACCUGUGGGGCAAACACCAUUGAAAGAGCAAAAGGUACUGGGACCAGUGAACCUGAAUCCACGUACACCUUGGAACCCAUGACAUCAGAAGGAACUACUUUAAUGAAUUAUGCUAAGACUCCGUGCCAGGAAUUGGUUCUAAUUGAAGAACCAGUUAUUGUAGAAGAAUGGCCUGAACCUGAAAUCGAAUAUCCUUUAUCUGAAGACAGUGUUGUAAUGGAUGAACCAGUAUAUUAUUCUUAAUUAAUAUAAUUCCUUUAAUUGUU